GUAGAUGAUAAUGUGUCAUUAAACUACUAACUUGUAUUAUGAACUUAAGGCAACAUAACAAAGCCAUAGAUUUUGCCUUCCAAUCCACACAGAUUUUUAUUUCUUUAUCAAUACACCGGUAAAGAAAAGCAUACCUUGAUAGAGUUACAGAGAAUAAUGACACUUCACUCAUUUCAUGUAAACUUGUACUAAGUAAACAAUAUCACUAAUACCACUUAUACAGUAGUGCAAAUAUUACUCAAUAUUAAAUGGGAAACUCCAAUCAGAACAAGCUUAAUUUCACAAUUUUAUGGUUACGACCAAAAACCAAUUUGUCGCCAUUUAUUAUUAGACACACCUUAUCAAAUAAAAGUAGCCACCCUUUUAUAUUAUUCGACACACACGUGUAGAGUCACAUAUUAUAAAGUUGUUACCAUAAGAUAUAUCACUAGUGAUGGCCUGCACCAGGGCUUGGAGUAGAAUUUUGAAGAAUUCUUUCAUUAUUGGUAAAACGAGCAAAGAACAUUCCAGUGCUACUCAUGGGAUAACUAGUAGUAGUCUCAAGUGAAGGUAGGGUACCCUUCAAAGAGGGUACCAUUUGUGGCUCCAUUUUGAGAAUAUUUCGGGCAUCUAAGAAUGAGAAAUAGCAUGCCAAAAUAAGAACAGUGAUGAACAAAGCAGAGUUUAAGUGAGCCAUGUGGAGCACUAGACAAGAAUGUUAUGUAUUAAUAAUGUGUCUGUUUGUG
rnacentral:lncRNA from 1 species